UUCAUGGAGAGUUUGAUCCUGGCUCAGGACGAACGCUGGCGGCGUGCCUAAUACAUGCAAGUCGAGCGGACCGACGGGAGCUUGCUCCCUUAGGUCAGCGGCGGACGGGUGAGUAACACGUGGGUAACCUGCCUGUAAGACUGGGAUAACUCCGGGAAACCGGGGCUAAUACCGGAUGCUUGAUUGAACCGCAUGGUUCAAUCAUAAAAGGUGGCUUUUAGCUACCACUUACAGAUGGACCCGCGGCGCAUUAGCUAGUUGGUGAGGUAACGGCUC
rnacentral:rRNA from 1 species